ACUUGUUCAUAUCCACUAAUUAUCCAGUGAUUUCGCCAUGGAGACUACACAUUCGCCCUGCUGGUGUUAACUUUUUUGUUCUUAAUUUGUUAUCGGCAGUCAAAACAAUACAGUGAUCCAUAUGUUUUUUGGCUAAUCUGAUAUUGGAUUUGUUUCUGGGUCAACCAACCCCCUUCCCAUUCAAAAGUAUUUCUUCAUUCAUACAACCUUAAGAUUAGUGUUAUUCUGGGAAUUUUUGUCUAAAUUAUUAUUAUUAAACUACUCGAACUUUACUGCAAUCUUGAAUGGUAGGUGACGAUGGUGACGAUUUGGAUUCUGAACAUGACCGCCACAUUGGAGACUUUCCUUUCAGCCAGUAUCAAUUCCUGACAUCCAAUACUUUUGAUGAAAGGAUCCAUGGUUUUGACAACAGGUGGAAGCAGACAAAUAAUAUCUAUAACUUUAAGUACCUACUAUAGCAAAAGCUAUAUACUAUAGAAAUACUCAAUUUUAAUAUCUAUUUUGUUUUAGAACAAAGAAGCUAAAUAGCUAGGCUCGGGUUACAAAUUUAAACAUAUUUUUUUAUAUGUUUAAACUAAUUAAAAUAUGUCUUUUUUUAUGCAUCCCUAA